AUCAUUGCUGGAACGCGCUUCGGCGCACCCAGAAACCCUUUGUGAACUUAUACCUAUCUGUUGCCUCGGCGCAGGCCGGCCUUUUGUGACAAAGGCCCCCUGGAAACAGGGAGCAGCCCGCCGGCGGCCAACUAAACUCUUGUUUCUAUAGUGAAUCUCUGAGUAAAAAACAUAAAUGAAUCAAAACUUUCAACAACGGAUCUCUUGGUUCUGGCAUCGAUGAAGAACGCAGCGAAAUGCGAUAAGUAAUGUGAAUUGCAGAAUUCAGUGAAUCAUCGAAUCUUUGAACGCACAUUGCGCCCUCUGGUAUUCCGGAGGGCAUGCCUGUUCGAGCGUCAUUUCAACCCUCAAGCCUGGCUUGGUGAUGGGGCACUGCCUUCUAACGAGGGCAGGCCCUGAAAUCUAGUGGCGAGCUCGCUAGGACCCCGAGCGUAGUAGUUAUAUCUCGUUCUGGAAGGCCCUGGCGGUGCCCUGCCGUUAAACCCCCAACUUCUGAAAAUUUGACCUCGGAUCAGGUAGGAAUACCCGCU
rnacentral:rRNA from 1 species